rnacentral:rRNA from 1 species
GACGUAGGGAGCGAGCGUUGUCCGGAUUCAUUGGGCGUAAAGAGCGCGUAGGCGGCCGUGCAAGUCGGUUGUGAAAUCCCGGGGCUCAACCCCGGGACUGCGUCCGAUACUGCACGGCUCGAGGCAGGUAGGGGAGAGUGGAAUUCCCGGUGUAGCGGUGAAAUGCGCAGAUAUCAGGAGGAACACCGGUGGCGAAGGCGGGUCUCUGGGCCGAUACUGACGCUGAGGAGCGAAAGCGUGGGGAGCGAACAGG